CUGUCCGUAAGAGCAGCCAGUGAGCUCUCUCUCCAGCCCAGGACUAUUUGAGGAGUCUCUUUGUAGCCAUCCUGGAUAGAGAGGCAAUGGCAGACCCGAAUGCCUCUGCCCAUGUCCGCCUUGGUCAGUCAGUGAGCUCACUAGUGUUUGUGGAAGCACCAACCACUCACUGCCCAGAAUACUUCUGAGGCUCUUCUCAGCCUUCUAUGUCCAAAGCCGAAGAGUGGCCUCUUCAGCUUUCCUCUUCCUGCUACCUGGGAGUGUUAUCAGGCCCAGGAUCGAGAGGGUCCUGAGUAUGACCACAGUCGCUCUGAUCCUGGAGGGUACAGCCACACAGCACGGGUGUUCCCUGUUUGGAGAGACGUUCUGAAAGGAGGAACGUGGAAACACCUUUGCAGUGCUAUUUCAAAGAAGUCCUUCCUUAAACUUUCAGUGGACAACAUUUUACAGAGAGGACUCACAAACCAAACCAACCAACCAACCCUAGGAGGCGAUCUGGGAGUGCGGGGGACCUAAUUCACCAGCUCGAUGUGUUUAUGACAGCUUCGUGGGGUAUUUGCUGGUGUGCCUAAGGGCGUAGGAAGGAUCUCAGAGAUUUAAGUUCCAGAAGAGUACGGUUCGGUUUGGACCCUGUGAUGUUGGAUUUUGACAGCUCAGUGCUUACCGUGUCUCCCAGAGCUGGUUCACACCCUGAGAUCUCUGAGAGCAGGGAAGGACUCCAUUCCACACACACUGAAGGUGGCCUUCUGUACAUUUCGAGUUCUCUCGAUACUCAGGGGUGAUGCCGAUUUUAAAAAUAGACUCUUUUCCAAACCCUGUUUAAUUUUUUUCUUUUUGAGCGUGCGACCAUGGUUUUUCAUUUCAGUGAUUUCUACGAAACUUCACACAGAUGAAUUACUUACAAAUAAAAGGCGAUCUUUGUGUGAAUAGCUUCAGCUUUCACGGCUCAUCGCAGGGUACCCGUUUUAGAAUUCCCAGGGCUAAUCGGAGGGAGCGAGAGCUGAUGGGCCAGUGUGUUAUGGAAUAAUGGCCUGGUGUAGGGGUGUCUUCACGUUCCUUCUCGCGUCUGUCUUAAUGUAAGGCUGAAACAUGCCUUCAUGUUUAAACUUUUAGUCAUGCAGAGACUUGUCUUUAAUCUAUUUAGAUUAUUCAUUAAAAGUGAACACGGACAGGCAUGGUAGCGUAGACCUAUAUAAUCUCAGUAUUGGAGAAACCGAGGCAGGAUGGGAAGUUCUGGGCCAGUCUGGGCUUCAUAGUAAGACCUUGUCUCCACAAAGAUACAAAGCGAGCCAGCAGCGUGCUGUGUGGCCCAUCACACGGGACGCAGAGGACACAACAGUGGGCUUUCAGUGUGCCACACAGUAUGCAGACAGGACUUGAGCCUUGGUGUUGGUCAGGCUUGGGCUCCGUUCAGGAACCGGGAUUUACUUACUAAAUGACUUGUGUCUGAACAACUUACCCAUGCUCCUCUUUCUCCAUCUGUCAGGCUGCACGAGGCUUUCCUCAGAGAACUGAAGGACUAUAUGACGUCCACAGUCCUCAGCACCAAUUAUUCUUCAUUGUAUGAAAAACACCGACCACGGUGCCCGCUUUUGCUGAUGUAGCAUAUUCUGCUGAGUUAAAGCUACCUGUAAGGCAGGCGUGGUGGCUUACCGCUGUAAUCCCAGCACCUGGGAGACUGAGGCAGGAGGACUGCUGUGAGUUCAAAAGUCUCACUAAAAAGUGGGACUUUGCUUCAAAGAACAAUUUUUUUGGAACAGUUUUUAAAAAACAAAACAAAGACUACCAGUAAAAAGGUUACACGAUCUAAUAAAAUAAAGCCUCAUGAGUCUUAGAAAACUUAAUUUGGAAAUAGUUUUUGGCAAAUUUGAAAAGUUACCGCCACCAAACUAAUGCUUGUUCAUGCCGAAGGAUUUCUAAAGGACUGAUUCUGAGUUAGCAACCUACAAAAACAACACUGAGUUACUGGGAGGAAAUUCUGAAUUUCUGAAAUAAUUCCUUUGCUAAGUGACUCAGACUUUGGGUGUCGCCGAGGGGAACUCUUAAACAUGUCAAGGUUUGGUGGAUUCUUCCUGCUGAUGGUAACGCAUCGUCGACGCGGCUGCUCGGACCUGGCAGUAUGUUCCCUGCCAUUACUGCAGCAGCAAGUGGGGAUCCAGGGAUUUGCUUCCUGCUCGCUGUCUGACAGGACCAGCCCAGAGGCGCUCUGACUUGCGUGUACCCCUAUCAGCUCCGAUACUGAGAUCAAUACGCUCUGACAUGCACAGGGAGUGCCCUCAUCAAUUUUAAUUCUGAAAAUUGCUUAUGCACUACUGCCAUCCGUUUGUCUGGAUCGCUUCUGUGAAGACAGUAGACUCAUCAAUGUGAAGUGCGUCAUGUCAGCACUGGCCAUCGGGGACUUUGAAUCUCCAUUAAAUUAUCUCCUGAGGAACUCACUAGGCAUUCUGAUUGUCCCUACAGAAGAUGGUGAAGAGGAAGGGUGUGGUGUAAGAUGUGGGUUCGUUUUCUGUUAUUCAGAAAGUAAUUUUCUCGUGUGUUUUUGCAGACUACCACCUUUGGUCAACAUAUGGCAAAACAGACAAAGUUGAUUUGUUUCGUCAUAGAAGAAUUAGUCCCUGGCAGUCUUGGAAUCUUUGGCCUCAAAUUCCUAGAGAUCCCCCUGCUUCCUGAAUGCUGGAGUUAAAGAGAGACCAAAAGAACAUCAAAUUGGGUAGGUAAGGAGAAUCUGAGAGAAGAAAAACAUGAUUAAAACAUAUUGUCUCGAUUUUUCAUCAAAAAAGUUGAGAGAUACAAAAUCUACAAAAGAAAAAAAUGUCUUCUGGCUUGUUAAUAUAAACUAUAUUCUGUGGAAAAAUAACUGCUACAAAGCUAAAAGAAAUUAGUGGUUACCAUUGACAUUUACAAAUCCCUUUAAUAUGUUUAUUAGUUACUACUGAAUUCUUCUUGCUUUUGUAUUUACAGUACUACAAUAUGUUGUUUUGACUGGAGAAUAUAAAAGUGUUCGUGUCUCAAGAUGUAGAACUGGUAAUGCAGAAAUAUUUUUAAAGUCUUUAAUAAAAUUGUAGGUAUUUUCCCGUGCCUUAGUUUUUUGUUGUUGUUUUUUUCUGUUGUUUUUUUUAAUUUAGUUUUUUAAAGAUUUAUUUUAUUUAUUGUGUGUCAGUGUUGGAGAGAUCCAGGAGAGGAAGUUAGAUCCCUGGACAUGCAUUACAGCUGGGGACCAAACUUGCGUCCUUUGGAAGAGCAUCAAGCGCCCCUAACCACUGAGCCACCUCUUCAGGCCCAUUACUUGAAUUUUUUUGAGUCAGAGUUUGCAAUGUGGGUCCAGCUUACUAUGUACUUAAGCUUCUUUUCAACUUCCUGCCUCUGUCCCCAGAUGCUAGGAUUCCAGAUAUGCACCACCAUGGCUAAUAAAUAGUAUUUUCUUAAAAUCAGAAGCAACAUAAAGCAUUAAUCUAUGCAAAUACUCUCGUACUCAGUUACAUUAAAAUCACCCACUGUUGUGUUGUUUCUUUAGUAUUCUUAACAAAUAAGACCAAAUUGGAUAACAUAAAACAACUGAUGUUUACUCUGUCACACUGAGUUUAUUAUAUGUUUGUCUUUAGUUAUUGUUCUAUUGUUGUGAAAAGACAUCACGGCCAAGGCAGCUUAUAAAAGACAGCAUUCAUUGGGAGCUUACUUACAGUUUCAGAGUGUUAGUCCAUGAACAUCCUGUGGGAAGUAUGGUGGUAGGCAAGCAGGCUGUUAGAGCAGUAACUGAGAGAUAACAUCCUGAUCCUCAGGCAGGACGUAGGAAGAGAUGGAGACAGGGCCUGUCCUGGGCUUUUGGGACCUCAAAGUCCACCCCUAGUGACACACCUCCCAAUGCUUCCCAAACAGUUCCACUAACUGGGGACCAGUCAUCCAAACAUGAGGUCAGGGGCCAUUCUCAUUCAAACACACCGACGUGUGUGCGUAGAUCUGGAUCAUGCAGUCCUUUGUAGAGUUUAGAGGUUGUCUGCCUCUGUCUUCAUACACUUUUUCCUCUGUGUUUCUCUGUCUUCUCCUUUUCUAGACCUUGUAAGGACACUUGUCACUAGAUUUAGAACUCAGAUAAUCUGCCACAGUCUCAUGAGUUGAUCCUUUUGAAGGCCACUGUCAAACUUAUUAAGUCGUUGUAGUUUGAGUGACUUUUGAUGUCGGUGUGGUUUUAUAAUUUUAUGCAUUAAGUCAUUUGGAAAGUUGUUGUUGUUUA
rnacentral:sRNA from 1 species